rnacentral:lncRNA from 1 species
CUAUUCUUAAUAAGAGUUCAAAAGUAGAUCCAUUCUGAUCCCAUUCUAAACCUUCAAUUAAAUUCAAAUAUUAGCUUUUUAUCAACACAAUAAUUUCAUAUCUGUUUCUGUUGUUGUUGUUUGUGUUUAGUUUUGUGUUUUGUAGGUGUAAGGAGGAUGACGAAGAUGAUUGUAAAGUUGGUCCUGAUCUUUGCGCUUCUCGGGUUCUCCGUUGAGCUUGAAAAAGGUGAUAUGGUCAGAUAUCCCGGGCACUGUUCUGUCUACAACCAUUACGCUGUGUAUGUCGGAAAAGGGCUAAAUGAUGCACUGCCUGCAAAGACAGCAGAACAGGAUACGUUUGAAAUGACAAGAGAAAAUAGCUGUGUUUUUGGAAAUCUAAGAGAGAAAUAUGAGGUCUUCAACUAUAUGGAAGAUGGACAGCACGGCCCUGUAGUUCAGCCCAGAUCAUGGGAUGAGAUGGCAAGGAGUAUUACAGAUAUAUAUAAUAAAGGAUGUGGAACCUGGACAUUGGAGAACACAUGUGAACACAUGGCCACAAGGAUUCGUUAUGGUGACAACCACUCAAAGUGCAUGCAGUAUAAAACCUUAGUUCAUCUAUCUUGCUUAAUUACUGAGACCAUCAAAGAAAAAUCCAAACCCGUUCAAAGCCAGCAACACAGACGACGCAGACGAUCUCAAAAACACCCGGCUGCUGUUUAUCCUGCAGUUUAGCCUCACUCAUCU